CCUACGGGAGGCAGCAGUGGGGAAUAUUGCACAAUGGGGGAAACUCUGAUGCAGCAACGCCGCGUGAAGGAAGACGGUUUUCGGAUUGUAAACUUCUGUUCUUAGUGAAGAAUAAUGACGGUAGAUAAGGAGCAAGCCACGGUUAAAUACGUGCCCGCAGCCGCGGUAAUACGUAGGUGGCAAGCGUUGUCCGGAAUUACUGGGUGUGAAGGGAGCGCAGGAGGGAAGCCAAGUCAGCUGUGAAAACUACGGGCUUAACUUGUAGACUGCAGUUGAAACUGGUUUUCGUGAGUGAAGUAGAGGUUGGCGGAAUUCCGAGGGUAGCGGUGAAAUGCGUAGAUAUUCGGAGGAACACCGGUGGCGAAGGCGGCCAACUGGGCUUUAACUGACGCUGAGGCUCGAAAGUGUGGGGAGCAAACAGGAUUAGAUACCCGGGUAGUC
rnacentral:rRNA from 1 species